UGUAUAAUGGGUCAGCGACUUAUAUUCUGUAGCAAGGUUAACCGAAUAGGGGAGCCGAAGGGAAACCGAGUCUUAACUGGGCGUUAAGUUGCAGGGUAUAGACCCGAAACCCGGUGAUCUAGCCAUGGGCAGGUUGAAGGUUGGGUAACACUAACUGGAGGACCGAACCGACUAAUGUUGAAAAAUUAGCGGAUGACUUGUGGCUGGGGGUGAAAGGCCAAUCAAACCGGGAGAUAGCUGGUUCUCCCCGAAAGCUAUUUAGGUAGCGCCUCGUGAAUUCAUCUCCGGGGGUAGAGCACUGUUUCGGCAAGGGGGUCAUCCCGACUUACCAACCCGAUGCAAACUGCGAAUACCGGAGAAUGUUAUCACGGGAGACACACGGCGGGUGCUAACGUCCGUCGUGAAGAGGGAAACAACCCAGACCGCCAGCUAAGGUCCCAAAGUCAUGGUUAAGUGGGAAACGAUGUGGGAAGGCCCAGACAGCCAGGAUGUUGGCUUAGAAGCAGCCAUCAUUUAAAGAAAGCGUAAUAGCUCACUGGUCGAGUCGGCCUGCGCGGAAGAUGUAACGGGGCUAAACCAUGCACCGAAGCUGCGGCAGCGACGCUUAUGCGUUGUUGGGUAGGGGAGCGUUCUGUAAGCCUGCGAAGGUGUGCUGUGAGGCAUGCUGGAGGUAUCAGAAGUGCGAAUGCUGACAUAAGUAACGAUAAAGCGGGUGAAAAGCCCGCUCGCCGGAAGACCAAGGGUUCCUGUCCAACGUUAAUCGGGGCAGGGUGAGUCGACCCCUAAGGCGAGGCCGAAAGGCGUAGUCGAUGGGAAACAGGUUAAUAUUCCUGUACUUGGUGUUACUGCGAAGGGGGGACGGAGAAGGCUAUGUUGGCCGGGCGACGGUUGUCCCGGUUUAAGCGUGUAGGCUGGUUUUCCAGGCAAAUCCGGAAAAUCAAGGCUGAGGCGUGAUGACGAGGCACUACGGUGCUGAAGCAACAAAUGCCCUGCUUCCAGGAAAAGCCUCUAAGCAUCAGGUAACAUCAAAUCGUACCCCAAACCGACACAGGUGGUCAGGUAGAGAAUACCAAGGCGCUUGAGAGAACUCGGGUGAAGGAACUAGGCAAAAUGGUGCCGUAACUUCGGGAGAAGGCACGCUGAUAUGUA
rnacentral:rRNA from 1 species